CAGUCGCCGCGGUAAUACGUAGGUGGCAAGCGUUGUCCGGAAUUACUGGGCGUAAAGCGUGCGCAGGCGGUUUUGUAAGACAGGCGUGAAAUCCCCGGGCUCAACCUGGGAAUGGCGCUUGUGACUGCAAAGCUAGAGUGCGGCAGAGGGGGAUGGAAUUCCGCGUGUAGCAGUGAAAUGCGUAGAUAUGCGGAGGAACACCGAUGGCGAAGGCAAUCCCCUGGGCCUGCACUGACGCUCAUGCACGAAAGCGUGGGGAGCAAACAGGAUUAGAGACCCCCGUAGUCCCUGUCUCUUAUAC
rnacentral:rRNA from 1 species